AUAUCUGUUCAACUCAGAUCGCUUUGA
rnacentral:tRNA from 1 species